UUUUUUUUUUUUUUGUUAGCACCCAUGUCCUGGGACCGUGUGUGACUGCAUCGUUAAGCGUGCGAGCCCUCUUUUGAAGUGUUCUGCUGCAAUUUCGGCAGAUUUUCAAGUCGUACUCACAUGAGGCACAUUCGAACUGUGCUUGAGCCCAAUUGACACCUUCGAUCCAAAACCUUUGACAAGUGCUCAAAUGUAUAAUGGUGUUAUGUAGGCACACUUCGGCAGACUCCGCUCUCUUUUGGCCUGCUCCAGGAAGUGAUGUAGACGUGGCCUGUAAUUACUGUCGUGCCACCACAGGGAGAACCUUACUUAAUAGAAAUCAAUAUGAAUCCUCGUAAUAAUACGCAAAGACCAAAAAGUUCACGGACCGCUCGGCUACCGCAUGUAAUUUACGCAUCAUUAAUGAACUCCGAGUGCUCUGCAUUGCAAGCGGUUUUAGAGUAGUUGGACGGAUCUUUCUAGACCCGCAGAAUAUUGUCUUCUGUGAAAAUAAAGCACCAAACCGAGAGAGGGAGUUUGCGUGGCUCUUUAGCCAUUGGGCGGGGGUUGUUUUUAUUUUUUUUUCCAUUUGUUUGUAAUCAACAGUAGGACAUGUGUUGGUUUCCCCCCCAAAAUGGGUCGGGAGGGGUGAGCUUUUUGUGAAAUGCGUGUCAACCAGAAAGCAGUGAAUUUGAUGGUUAUUUGUUGCUGUUUUGACAUCCUCAAACUGUAAAAUAAAAAGACUAAAAAGGGCUUUUGACGGUUAAAAAAAACGUAGCUCUACAACUAAGAAUUGAACAUCAGUGUCUUUUUUUUCAUGACGUUUAUCAUCUUGUGGGGUGUCUAAACACUUGCGACUCGCAUCAUGUGGACAUUUCUCGCUCUUAUAAUCGAUGUGACAGGCCAGCAUUUACCCCCUAAUCUCUGUCUUCUACUCCAAAGCUGUGCUGAUAUCAAAUCCCCAGCAACGCAACGCUCCCAUCUACAGGCAUCUGUCGGUCAUUACAGUGGUUUACAAACCAGAAUUUCACAGGUGAGCUGAGCGAGUCCACCUUUCACGCCUACUCGUUGAAAAAUGUACUUGACAAUACUGUACAUGUAAGAACACAUUUUCAUCCAUUUGACGAAAAUAAACGUCUUGCGUCAGUGAGCGAAUUCAUGAAAUCGCUCGACUCUGUCAUGAUGACACAACAACAACAAAAAAACCCACCAUAGGCACGGUUGGAUUGGCCUCACGCGAGUACGGCCUUCGAAGGAUGAGCCGCAGCGCGUGUGUGUAGAUGUCAAACGCUUGUCACGUUCUGGACAAGGAUCGCCGACGAACGAAAGGAAGACUUUUGAGGUUGUGCUGUUUGUCAUAAGUGUACUUCUGGGGUCGCUAGCAUUUUCAUGUGUCAUACUGUAACGCAAACGUAACUUAACUGCGGACAGGAAAGCUAAUUGUGUGGGAACGACUGCCAUUCAAGUGAGCUCUGAAAAUCCCUUUGAGAGUUUAUUCUAUAUCCUUCAUAUCCAGCUUCGUUUUAUGACCUAGUAGACAGUUUGUCAUAACUAGUAUUCUGCGCACAAGGUGAUAAUCUAUAUAUUUUUUACCCACUACUAGUCAAAUUUAAAAUCAAACAUAUUGAGUAAAUGCUGUUCCGUACCCUUGAAACCACAUUAAGGUCUAUGUACUUGUACUUUGCCCUAAAACAAUUGCGUGUACUAUUAGUAUAACUGUCUUACUAGUCCCACCCCCUCCUGCCACUAGUGCUACUUUUGGCUGACUAAUACAACUUCAAGACGGGAUGAAGGCCAAAAUAAGUCACUUGUGUCAGUUUUAUUGUCGCGUAACAUUUUUUUACUAGUAAGGACAAAGAGGCUACUACAGUAGUACAUUGAUCUUAAGCUGGAUAUCAAGUAUGUGGAAAAAAAUGCUCAAAAGGCUUUUCAUGUGAUGGCUGCAUUAACAGCAAAACAAUGCAGGGUGUUUUUUUCUGUUUGUUUUUUCCUUCACCCUGUUUUAAUCUCACACAGCAAAAUGAUGGACUACAUGUUUUCUCAGCUACUUUUUGCUGUUUGUUUGCUGUUUUGAUUUUGUUUGUGCGUGUUUGUUGAAGGGGAAAAAACAUUUGCCAGCUGUCUGUGAGGCAAGGACUAGAAUCAUAGGCAACCACUUGUUAUUUCAAGCAGUGGCAAAAAGAAAAAAAGUAUUGUCUGUCAUUUUUGUUUUGUUUUUUGGGGAUGGAAGGACUGGUUGCAAAGGCAACAUUCAGGGGUAUCAGUAGUGAAUGUAUAAUUAGUUUCUUUUUUUGUCUUAUUUUUCACAGUUGGUGAGCUGUGACUGAAGGUCUAGACAACAGAACACAACCAAUUAAUAAAUUUCAAAAAAAUG